rnacentral:rRNA from 1 species
GUGCCUAACACAUGCAAGUCGAGCGGAGAUAUAUUGAAGAGCAAUCAGAUAUGUAUCUUAGCGGCGGACGGGUGAGUAACGCGUGGGCAACCUGCCUCAGACUGGGGGAUAACACAGGGAAACUUGUGCUAAUACCGCAUAAAAUCAUAGGAGGACAUCCUCUAAUGAUCAAAGGAGCAAUCCGGUUUGAGAUGGGCCCGCGUCCAAUUAGCUAGUUGGUGAGGUAAUGGCUCACCAAGGCGACGAUUGGUAGCCGAACUGAGAGGUUGAUCGGCCACAUUGGGACUGAGACACGGCCCAGACUCCUACGGGAGGCAGCAGUGGGGAAUAUUGCGCAAUGGGGGAAACCCUGACGCAGCAACGCCGCGUGA